rnacentral:tRNA from 1 species
AUUCUUAUAGCUUAUGUAGAGCACGAUACUGAAGAUAUCGGGGAAGCAAAUUUGUUUUGGGAUA